rnacentral:rRNA from 1 species
AUUGAACGCUGGCGGCAUGCCUUACACAUGCAAGUCGAACGGCAGCACGGGAGCAAUCCUGGUGGCGAGUGGCGAACGGGUGAGUAAUACAUCGGAACGUGCCCAAUCGUGGGGGAUAACGUAGCGAAAGCUACGCUAAUACCGCAUACGAUCUACGGAUGAAAGCGGGGGAUCGCAAGACCUCGCGCGAAUGGAGCGGCCGAUGGCAGAUUAGGUAGUUGGUGAGGUAAAGGCUCACCAAGCCUGCGAUCUGUAGCUGGUCUGAGAGGACGACCAGCCACACUGGGACUGAGACACGGCCCAGACUCCUACGGGAGGCAGCAGUGGGGAAUUUUGGACAAUGGGCGCGAGCCUGAUCCAGCAAUGCCGCGUGCAGGAUGAAGGCCUUCGGGUUGUAAACUGCUUUUGUACGGAACGAAACGGUCCUUUCUAAUACAAGGGGCUAAUGACGGUACCGUAAGAAUAAGCACCGGCUAACUACGUGCCAGCAGCCGCAGUAA